rnacentral:rRNA from 1 species
UUAAGUUAUUAAGGGCGCACGGUGGAUGCCUUGGCACUAGAAGCCGAUGAAGGACGUUACUAACGACGAUAUGCUUUGGGGAGCUGUAAGUAAGCUUUGAUCCAGAGAUUUCCGAAUGGGGAAACCCAGCAUGAGUUAUGUCAUGUUAUCGAUAUGUGAAUACAUAGCAUAUCAGAAGGCACACCCGGAGAACUGAAACAUCUUAGUACCCGGAGGAAGAGAAAGAAAAUUCGAUUCCCUUAGUAGCGGCGAGCGAAAUGGGAAGAGCCCAAACCAACAAGCUUGCUUGUUGGGGUUGUAGGACACUCUAUACGGAGUUACAAAGGACGACAUUAGACGAAUCAUCUGGAAAGAUGAAUCAAAGAAGGUAAUAAUCCUGUAGUCGAAAAUGUUGUCUCUCUUGAGUGGAUCCUGAGUACGACGGAGCACGUGAAAUUCCGUCGGAAUCUGGGAGGACCAUCUCCUAAGGCUAAAUACUCUCUAGUGACCGAUAGUGAACCAGUACCGUGAGGGAAAGGUGAAAAGCACCCCGGAAGGGGAGUGAAAUAGAACCUGAAACCGUGUGCUUACAAGUAGUCAGAGCCCGUUAAUGGGUGAUGGCGUGCCUUUUGUAGAAUGAACCGGCGAGUUACGAUUUGAUGCAAGGUUAAGCAGUAAAUGUGGAGCCGUAGCGAAAGCGAGUCUGAAUAGGGCGUUUAGUAUUUGGUCGUAGACCCGAAACCAGGUGAUCUACCCUUGGUCAGGUUGAAGUUCAGGUAACACUGAAUGGAGGACCGAACCGACUUACGUUGAAAAGUGAGCGGAUGAACUGAGGGUAGCGGAGAAAUUCCAAUCGAACCUGGAGAUAGCUGGUUCUCUCCGAAAUAGCUUUAGGGCUAGCCUCAAGUGAUGAUUAUUGGAGGUAGAGCACUGUUUGGACGAGGGGCCCCUCUCGGGUUACCGAAUUCAGACAAACUCCGAAUGCCAAUUAAUUUAACUUGGGAGUCAGAACAUGGGUGAUAAGGUCCGUGUUCGAAAGGGAAACAGCCCAGACCACCAGCUAAGGUCCCAAAAUAUAUGUUAAGUGGAAAAGGAUGUGGCGUUGCCCAGACAACUAGGAUGUUGGCUUAGAAGCAGCCAUCAUUUAAAGAGUGCGUAAUAGCUCACUAGUCGAGUGACACUGCGCCGAAAAUGUACCGGGGCUAAACAUAUUACCGAAGCUGUGGAUUGUCCUUUGGACAAUGGUAGGAGAGCGUUCUAAGGGCGUUGAAGCAUGAUCGUAAGGACAUGUGGAGCGCUUAGAAGUGAGAAUGCCGGUGUGAGUAGCGAAAGACGGGUGAGAAUCCCGUCCACCGAUUGACUAAGGUUUCCAGAGGAAGGCUCGUCCGCUCUGGGUUAGUCGGGUCCUAAGCUGAGGCCGACAGGCGUAGGCGAUGGAUAACAGGUUGAUAUUCCUGUACCACCUAUUUUGGAAAUGAUAAUUUAAUAAUGUGCAUUUUCGAUUGUCUAAAUCUGUGACUAGAAGUAUAAGUGAAGACAUUCAGAAGUAUUAUAAAAAGUGAACAGCAGUAAGAUAGUUUUUAAUCAUAAAUCAUCUUACUGCUGUUUUUAGGUUUUAUGUUUAAUAUCUUUUAAAUCGAAAUACAAAAAGGAAAUUAAUUAUUAUACAAUAGACAAGCUAUUGCAUAAGUAACACUAACUUUUGUCAAAGAAGUGUUACUUUAUAAUUAAUGAUUUUAUUAGAGCGUCUACAUGCGGUUUUAAAGCAUCAUCGUCUAUACCGCCAAAGCCUAAUAUAAAUUUAGGGGUUUUCUUAUAGUCUUGGUCAUCAUCAAAAUUAUAAACUUGUAAUUUUAACUUUACUUUAUUUGCUCUAUCAAGACACUCUUGUAAUGUUAAUCCAUUUUUUAUUGUAAUUGUAAAAUGCAUACCUGUUUCAGCACCUUGAAUAUCAAGUUGCUCUUUGUAUGGUUUUAAUCUUUUUAAAAUAUAGGUUAGUUUUCUACGAUAAAUUCGUCUCAUUUUAUUUAAAUGCCUUUCAAAACCACCGGAAGAUAUAAACGUUGCAAUAAGGUUUUGCAUAUGAACAGGUACAGUGUUGCCUUCAAUGUGAUUUUGAGAAUGAUAUUUUUUCAUUAUAGAAUAGGGUAACACCAUAUAUGCAACACGACAGCUAGGAAAAAUAGACUUUGAAAAUGUACUGAUAUAAAUCACUUUUUCUCCUCUUGAAUAUAGACCUUGAAUUGCUGGAAUGGGUUUACCGAAAUAUCUAAACUCGGAAUCAUAAUCAUCUUCUAUAAUAAAUCGUUCUUCUUUUUCUUGAGCCCAUUGUAUUAAUUGAGUUCGCUUUUUUAAGUCCAUUACAUAUCCAGUUGGAAAUUGAUGGGAAGGCGUUAUAUAAACUAUAUUUUUUUGUGAUUUAAUAACUUCAUCUACGUUUAUUCCAUUAUCUUCAACUUCAAUUUGUUCAUAUUCAACUUGUUUUUUAUCUAAAAUAUUUUUGAUUGGUGGAUAACUAGGUUUUUCGAUAAUAAACGUUGAAGUAUAAAGUAAAUCGACUAAUUGAUUUACUAAUUGUUCGGUAGAUGAGCCAAUUAUAAUUUGAUUAGGAUCACAAAUUACACCACGAUUGGUAAAUAAAUAAAAUGCCAGUUGAAAUCUUAAAUGUAAUUCUCCUUGAAAAUGUCCUCUACGUAGUUGAUUUAAAUGAUUUGUAUCAUAAAGAUCUUUGGAAUACUUUCUGAAAAGUUCUAUAGGGAAAUGUUUCGUAUCUAUUUCAUCCA